GCCGAACUCUUUCUUCGUGCUUAACACAUGCAAGUCGAGCGGAAAGGCCCUGCUUUUGUGGGGUGCUCGAGUGGCGAACGGGUGAGUAACACGUGAGUAACCUGCCCUUGACUUUGGGAUAACUUCAGGAAACUGGGGCUAAUACCGGAUAGGAGCUCCUGCUGCAUGGUGGGGGUUGGAAAGUUUCGGCGGUUGGGGAUGGACUCGCGGCUUAUCAGCUUGUUGGUGGGGUAGUGGCUUACCAAGGCUUUGACGGGUAGCCGGCCUGAGAGGGUGACCGGCCACAUUGGGACUGAGAUACGGCCCAGACUCCUACGGGAGGCAGCAGUGGGGAAUAUUGCACAAUGGGCGGAAGCCUGAUGCAGCAACGCCGCGUGCGGGAUGACGGCCUUCGGGUUGUAAACCGCUUUCGCCUGUGACGAAGCGUGAGUGACGGUAAUGGGUAAAGAAGCACCGGCUAACUACGUG
rnacentral:rRNA from 1 species